UUAAAGCUAGCCUGUAUACCUACCCUAAACCUAACCCUAUUAAUUACCUUAUAUAUUAAUACCUAACUAAAACAUUUUACCUUUUUAGUAUGGGCGACAGAACAAAAACUCAGCGCAAUAGACUAUGUACCGCAAGGGAAAGCUGAAAAAGAAAUGAAACAAAUAAUUAAAGUAAUAAAAAGCAGAGAUUUAACCUCGUACCUUUUGCAUCAUGAUUUAGCUAGAAAAACUAGACAAAGAGAUCUUAAGCCUAUCCCCCCGAAACUAAACGAGCUACUCCGAAGCAGCACGACUAGAGCAAACCCGUCUCUGUGGCAAAAGAGUGGGAAGACUUCCGAGUAGCGGUGACAAGCCUACCGAGUUUAGUGAUAGCUGGUUACCCAAAAAAAGAACUUUAAUUCUGCAUUAAUUCCUUUUCCACCAAAGAGUCCAUCUUACCAAGGUUAAACAUAAAAAUUAAUAGUUAUUCAGAAGAGGAACAGCCCUUCUGAACUAAGAUACAACUUUUAAAGGUGGUAAAUGAUCAUAUUCACCAAGGUUUUUACCUCAGUGGGCCCAAAAGCAGCCAUCUGUAAAGUAAGCGUCACAGCUCCAGUCUCACAAAAACCUAUAAUUUAGAUAUUUUUCUCAUAAUCCCCUUAACUAUAUUGGGUUAUUUUAUAAAAUUAUAAAAGAACUUAUGCUAAAAUGAGUAAUAAGAGGACUAACCUCUCCAAACACAAGUGUAUGUCAGAAAGAAUUAAAUCACUGACAAUUAAACGAACCCAGACUGAGGUCAUUAUACUAAUAUUACCUUAACUAGAAAAUCUUAUCAUAACAUUCGUUAACCCUACACAGGAGUGUCUUAAGGAAAGA
rnacentral:rRNA from 1 species